rnacentral:rRNA from 1 species
CCUACGGGAGGCAGCAGUAGGGAAUAUUGGGCAAUGGAGGCAACUCUGACCCAGCCAUGCCGCGUGCAGGAAGAAGGCGUUAUGCGUUGUAAACUGCUUUUAUAUAGGAAGAAAUAGACCUUGCGAGGUAAGUUGACGGUACUAUAUGAAUAAGCACCGGCUAACUCCGUGCCAGCAGCCGCGGUAAUACGGAGGGUGCAAGCGUUGUCCGGAUUUAUUGGGUUUAAAGGGUGCGUAGGCGGUUUAUUAAGUCAGUGGUGAAAGACGGUCGCUCAACGAUUGCAGUGCCAUUGAUACUGGUAGACUUGAGUGGGAUUGAGGUAGCUGGAAUGGAUAGUGUAGCGGUGAAAUGCAUAGAUAUUAUCCAGAACACCAAUUGCGUAGGCAAGUUACUAAGUCUCAACUGACGCUGAGGCACGAAAGUGUGGGGUAUCAAACAGGAUUAGAUACCCUGGUAGUCCACACUGUAAACGAUGAUAACUAACUGUUGGCUUUCGGGUCAGUGGUACAGAGAAAUCGUUAAGUUAUCCACCUGGGGAGUACGCCGGCAACGGUGAAACGUCAAAGGAAUUGACGG